CAACCAUAAACGAUGCCGACCAGGGAUCGGCGGAUGUUGCUUUUAGGACUCCGCCGGCACCUUAUGAGAAAUCAAAGUAUUUGGGUUCCGGGGGGAGUAUGGUCGCAAGGCUGAAACUUAAAGGAAUUGACGGAAGGGCACCACCAGGAGUGGAGCCUGCGGCUUAAUUUGACUCAACACGGGGAAACUUACCAGGUCCAGACAUAGUAAGGAUUGACAGACUGAGAGCUCUUUCUAGAUUCUAUGGGUGGUGGUGCAUGGCCGUUCUAGUUGGUGG
rnacentral:rRNA from 1 species